CCCUUAGAUGUUCUGGGCUGCACGCGCGCUACACUGACACACUCAGCGAGUCUCCUGGUCCGAGAGGAUUGGGUAAUCAUGUGAGCGUGUGUCGUGAUGGGGAUAGAAUAUUGUAAUUAUUACUCUUCAACGAGGGAUUCCUAGUAAGCGCGAGUCAGCAGCUCGCGCUGAUUACGUCCCUGCCCUUUGUACACACCGCCCGUCGCUCCUACCGAUUGGGUGUGCUGGUGAAAUGUUCGGAUCGGCCGUUUGUCGCGGUUUCCGCGUCAUGUGGCUGAGAAGUUCAUUAAACCCUCCCACCUAGAGGAAGGAGAAGUCGUAACA
rnacentral:rRNA from 1 species